AUGCUAUUUACCUAGUCAGAGCAAAACCAUGAUUCAGAGUGUGAGAAAAUGGCUCUCAUUUUCCUAGGAAGUUUUCAAUAUAAAAACAUGCUGUGCUUUUGAAUGAAAAGUAAAAUUUAAAGCCAAUGGAUGGAAAUUUCUUGUAAGAAGAUGUAAAAAACCCCUAGCUGUUUCUAUUCUUGAAAAUAAGAGUUGUUUUUUCACAGGGUCUAAGACUUGAAUACAUUUUUUCGAAAUGAAUUUGGCCUGUUGUAUUAAGGCCUGUGAUAAUACGAUUUCAUUCCUUGGUGCAGCUCCUUAAGUACCUUCCUUCUGUAGCCACUGUGCUUUGGUGUUUUAAAGUUAAAAAACUCAGGAAAAAAUAGUCUUGGGUCAUAAAAUUACAUUUGCAUAUAUGGGGUUUUAAUUUGAAGCCAGGGGUUUCUUUGCCUUUAUCUCUGAUCAAAGAUAAGCUUCACUUAUU
rnacentral:lncRNA from 1 species